rnacentral:lncRNA from 1 species
GAAGCACAUAAUUAUUUGGCCAAAAUGCCAAUAGUGCCAGGUGCAGGGGCUCAUGCCUGUAAUGUCAACACUUUGGAAGGCCAAGGUGGGUGGAUCGUUUGAGCUCAGGAGUUGGACAUCAGCCUGGGCAACAUGGCAUAACUCGGUCUCUACCAAAAAUAAAAAAAUUAGCUGAGUGUGGGGCGCACACCUGUGGUCCUAGCUACUCAGGAGGCUGAGAUGGGAGGAUCACUGGAGCUGGGGAAGUCGAGGCUGCGGUGAGCCGUGAUCGAGCCACUGCACUCCAGCCUAGGUGACAGAGUAAGACCUUGUGUCAAAAAAAAAAAAAAAAAGAGAAAAAGGGGCAGAGGGGCUGGGCGCAGGGCUCCUGCCUGUAAUCCCAGCACUGUGAGAGGCUGAGGUGGGUGGAUCACUUAAGGUCAGGAGUUCAAGACCAGCCUGUCCAACAUGGUGAAACCAUCCCCCGGCUACUUAAAAAUACAAAAAUUAGCUGGGGUUGCUGGCAUAGCACCUGUAAUUCCAGCUACUUGGGAGGCUGAGGCAGGAGAAUCGCUUGAACCCAGGAGGCAGAGGUUGCAGUGAGCCAAGAUCGCUCCACUGCACUCC